rnacentral:rRNA from 1 species
GACGUAGGGUCCGAGCGUUGUCCGGAGUUACUGGGCGUAAAGGGCGCGUAGGCGGUUUCUUACGUUCCACGUGAAAGCCCCUGGCUCAACCAGGGAGGGUCGUGGGAAACGGGGAAACUGGAGGCAGCGAGAGGCUGGUGGAAUCCCGGAGUAGUGGUGAAAUGCGUAGAUAUGCGGAGGAACACCGAUGGCGAAGGCAAUCCCCUGGGCCUGCACUGACGCUCAUGCACGAAAGCGUGGGGAGCAAACAGG